ensembl:lncRNA
AUUGAAAGCAAGUCUAAUAAAUGGUAGAUAUGUUCUAUGUGCACUAUUUCUAUGCUUCCCGUUCUUAAGUUACAUUUUUACGUUUUUUUUUCAUCUUCAAACAGCUUAAAAUGCAAUAUCUGUGGUUAUUGUAUAGGGAAUAGGGUGCUGUUUGGGACUUAACCUGCUUCUCACCUUGAUGAGUACAGAGCUGGACUGGGAGGGGAUGACAGAGAGCUGCUGCAGGAGGCCCUGGGUGACAGUCAGACUCUGUUUCAGACUCUCGUUCUCCGCUGACAGACACACAACCCGCUUCUCCGAGUCUGUGGCUCCCUGAGGAGGAACACAAUGGAUUACAGUACGCACUAAAGCAUGAUGAACAGGUUAUAUCACACUAAAGCAUGAUGAAUAGGUUCUACCUGUCAAUACUGGUCCCACAAUAUUGCCUGUUUGUUGCCUAACCAGUAUGAUUUCCCUAUAGGUUUAAAACCAAGCCAGUCAAAGAUACCUCAAUGCUGACACACCAUAGGGAUUUUCACACCACACCAUUUUGUCUACAGCAGCAGUGUAAAAAUGUAUUGUGGCAGCUUUACUGAUAACAAAUGGAGCAGAUUGUCUUGAAUGUUUACAGAGGCAGUUCUUAGUCUGGACAGCUCCUCCUCCCGCUCCUCGAUGCAGCUCUUCAGUUCGUCAAUCUGGGGAGGAAACAGGGAAAAUGUAGUCUGUAGUCUUGUACAAGAAGCUAAAAGGGAAGAAGAUGGGAAUCAAAAGGGCGGAUUGGAUGCUGAAAAAACGCUGUCAUGAAGUGCUUCCCAGGUGUAACAAAGGGACAAGUGGGAAAUGGCUUAAAACAGUCAAAAUGGCUGAAUUGAGAAGCGAUGAAUAGGAUUAAAUGAUGUGUUUUGUGUCGUUUGUUCUGUUUUAUUACCAUGACUACAAGUAUCACUGAAAUAAUGCUCCCGUAACAUAUAUGUUAACACAUAUUGUUCAGAUGUAUUGUAUCAUAUAAGGGACAUAUAUAUAAUAAACACUUGAAUACUAAAUGUGUUACAUAUAUACGAGCAUAUAAGUAUUAUGCGUAUAUGCACAUAUAUGUGGGUAUAAGGCAGAAAUAUUUGUCACAUAUAUUAAAAUGGCCAAUUAUUGUAUAUUUCAACAUAUAUGUGACAUGUGUGCUGAAUUUAAAAUGGGUUAAAUCCAGAUUUUGUGUCACUCGCCUACACAAAAUACCCCAUAAUAUCAAAGCGUAAUGAUGUUUUUAAAAGUUUUUACAAAUUAAUAAAAAAUGAAAAGCUGAAAUGCAGUGGUGUAAAGUACUUAAGUGAAAAUACUUUAAGGUAUUACUUAAGUCGUUUUUUGGGGUAUCUGUACUUUACUUGACUAUUCAUAUUUUUGACUACUUUAACUUUUACUUAACUAUAUUCCUAAAGAAAAUAACGUACUUUUAACUCCAUACACAUCCCUUUAAGCAGGGUGAAGUUAUUAAUUACACUUUGGAUGGUGUAUCAAUACAUCCAGUCACUACAAAGAUACAAGCAUCCUUCCUAACUCAGUUGCCAGAGAGGAUAGAAACCGCUCAGGGCCUCCCACUCCUCUUUCUAUUCUGGUGAGAGACAGUUUGCGCUGUUCUGUGAAGGGAGUAGUACACAGCGUUGUAUGAGAUCUUCAGUUUCUUGGCAAUUUCUCGCAUGGAAUAG